rnacentral:rRNA from 1 species
CGACCGGCGCACGGGUGAGUAACGCGUAUCCAACCUUCCCAUUACUGUGGGAUAACCUGCCGAAAGGCAGACUAAUACCGCAUAGUCUUCGAUGACGGCAUCAGAUUUGAAGUAAAGAUUUAUCGGUAAUGGAUGGGGAUGCGUCUGAUUAGCUUGUUGGCGGGGUAACGGCCCACCAAGGCGACGAUCAGUAGGGGUUCUGAGAGGAAGGUCCCCCACAUUGGAACUGAGACACGGUCCAAACUCCUACGGGAGGCAGCAGUGAGGAAUAUUGGUCAAUGGACGGAAGUCUGAACCAGCCAAGUAGCGUGCAGGAUGACGGCCCUAUGGGUUGUAAACUGCUUUUGUAUGGGGAUAAAGUUAGGGACGUGUCCCUAUUUGCAGGUACCAUACGAAUAAGGACCGGCUAAUUCCGUGCCAGCAGCCGCGGUAAUACGGAAGGUCCAGGCGUUAUCCGGAUUUAUUGGGUUUAAAGGGAGCGUAGGCUGGAGAUUAAGUGUGUUGUGAAAUGUAGACGCUCAACGUCUGAAUUGCAGCGCAUACUGGUUUCCUUGAGUACGCACAACGUUGGCGGAAUUCGUCGUGUAGCGGUGAAAUGCUUAGAUAUGACGAAGAACUCCGAUUGCGAAGGCAGCUGACGGGAGCGCAACUGACGCUUAAGCUCGAAGGUGCGGGUAUCAAACAGGAUUAGAUACCCUGGUAGUCCGCACAGUAAACGAUGGAUGCCCGCUG